UAACGGCGAGUGAAGCGGCAAGAGCUCAAAUUUGAAAUCUGGCCCCCUGCGGGGUCCGAGUUGUAAUUUGCAGAGGAUGCUUCGGGUGCGGCCCCUGCCUAAGUGCCCUGGAAUGGGCCGUCAGAGAGGGUGAGAAUCCCGUCCUGGGCAGGGUGCCCCGCGCCCGUGUGAAGCUCCUUCGACGAGUCGAGUUGUUUGGGAAUGCAGCUCUAAAUGGGUGGUAAAUUUCAUCUAAAGCUAAAUACCGGCCGGAGACCGAUAGCGCACAAGUAGAGUGAUCGAAAGAUGAAAAGCACUUUGAAAAGAGAGUUAAACAGCACGUGAAAUUGUUGAAAGGGAAGCGCUUGCGACCAGACUCGCCCCCGGGGUUCAGCCGGCACUCGUGCCGGUGUACUUCCCCGGGGGCGGGCCAGCGUCGGUUUGGGCGGCCGGUCAAAGGCCCCAGGAAUGUAUCGCCCCCCGGGGCGUCUUAUAGCCUGGGGUGCAAUGCGGCCAGCCCGGACCGAGGAACGCGCUUCGGCACGGACGCUGGCGUAAUGGUCGCAAACGACCCGUCUUGAAACACGGACCAAGGAGUCUAACAUCUACGCGAGUGUUCGGGUGUCAAACCCGUACGCGCAGUGAAAGCGAACGGAGGUGGGAGCCCCCCCGGGGCGCACCAUCGACCGAUCCUGAUGUCUUCGGAUGGAUUUGAGUACGAGCGUAGCUGUGGGGACCCGAAAGAUGGUGAACUAUGCCUGAAUAGGGUGAAGCCAGAGGAAACUCUGGUGGAGGCUCGCAGCGGUUCUGACGUGCAAAUCGAUCGUCAAAUUUGGGUAUAGGGGCGAAAGACUAAUCGAACCAUCUGGUAGCUGGUUCCUGCCGAAGUU
rnacentral:rRNA from 1 species